AUACGUAGGGGGCGCGCGUUGUCCGGAAUGAUUGGGCGUAAAGGGCGCGUAGGCGGCUUUGCAAGUCAGUAGUGGAAGUCCAUUUUUCAAGGAUGGAAGUGCUACAGAAACUGCGGAGCUUGAGUGCAGGAGAGGUUAUCGGAAUUCCCGGUGUAGCGGUGAAAUGCGUAGAGAUCGGGAGGAACACCAGUGGCGAAGGCGGGUAACUGGACUGCAACUGACGCUGAGGCGCGAAAGUGUGGGGAGCAAACAGGAUUAGAUACCCUGGUAGUCCACACUGUAAACGAUGAAUGCUAGGUGUAGGAGGUAUCGACCCCUUCUGUGCCGCAGUAAACACAGUAAGCAUUCCGCCUGGGGAGUACGGUCGCAAGAUUAAAACUCAAAUGAAUUGACGGGG
rnacentral:rRNA from 1 species